AUUCUACUUCUUAGUUUCUAUCCUGAUAUUUGUUUUGUUCACUCAAUAAGCACGAUACAACAUGCAUGCAGAUUUGUUAAACACCUUGCCAUUUAUAUCUUUCUUUUGAAAUCACAUACAUAACUGUUUAUUUGAGUUACUUAUUGGCGAAGUUCAGAGAUUUUUUCCCCAUCGUGUAAUGCACACCCCUAGGUUGGGAAUAGAGAUUACCGUCGAGGCGAUGGUGAUAAAUUAACCCACACCAAACAUACAUUGUUGUAGAGUAUAAAAGGUGCUAUAGAGUAUAGACAUGGGUCUAGACAUCUAGAUAGACCUACCUAAGAUUUCUAAAACAAUAUAAUUAUAAUGGUACAUGUAAAUUACAUGCUAGAUUUAUUCUUUUUGUAUACGGCUUUCAUGUUAGAUUCUAAAAAAUAUGGUGCGAUGUAUAAAGAAUUAUGGUCAACGCUAUGUUUUUCUUCGUGUUCUCCUUUUCUUUUUCCUUCUUAAUUUUUUUGAACCUUUUUCAAAUUUGUGAACAAUUUUCAAUUCACAUUUUUGAAUUUGCUAAAAUAUUGAAUUACCAAAUAUUUUCCAAAUUCGUGAAUAUUUUUUUGAAAAUUUUGAACCUUUUCAAAUGGUUGAAUAGUUUUUGAAUAUGUGAACAUUUUUCGAAUAUGUGAACGAUUUUGGAAUCUGUGAAGAGUUUCUAGAAUCAGUGAACAAUUUUGAAUUCGUCUUGAACAUUUUUUGAAUUCCUUAACAUUUUUUGAAUUCCUUAACAUUUUUGGAAUUCAUACUUGUCUUAAAUAUGAGAACAUUUUUCGAACACGAUAAUGUUUUUGGAAUUUGUGAACAUUGUUUUAGAAUCCACAGACAUUUUUUGAAUUUGACGCGAACAUUUAACAAUUUUUCGUAUUCAUGUACGUUAUUUGAAUUCAUGUUUAUAUCCCAGUUGGUCGUGUUUGCAUCAAACGUGUGUCCCACUUUGGAGAAAAAUACACCAUCCAUUUUGGUAGCGGUCCUAUAACUCAUCUCAACAAUUCUGUUUAGGCUUCAUUCUGCUAAAACGCUAGGCAUCAUCUCCUUUCCCGUAUUUCUCUUAGUCUCACUCCCAAACACUUCACGAUCCAACAGAGGGAAUGCCAAAAUCCAUGGUGGCAUUGUCCCCUUCGGCCGUUCGUGCCACUUGAGAGGAUGAAUGCUCUAGCAACAUCAUGCGAGAGGCAUCAACGCUAGUGAUUUUGCCACCAUCCUGGCCACGACGACAAUGCCGCAGAGCAUAUAAUGGAGGGUAGAGUAGGAAAGUAGAGCGAUGACGCCGUGGGAAGAGGUGCACUCGAACGGUGGAUCGAAAGUGUAGGAUAAUGCCCACUCGCCAAAAACUAGCCGCAAUCACCACUGAGACGAAGCGCUCAAACCAGGCACGAAGGGUUUGCUUAGGGCCAUAUAGACAGCGACGAAGACGACAAACCAUGCCAUUAGGAAGAGAACCUAGGUGAUGGCUACUUGUAGGCAUUCUUGACAUCGAGAGACAGAUUAGCGGCGAAUAGAAGCCACAUUGACAAGUGGGCGAAGAGUGGUCACGUGGGCCAUAUAUAUAGGAGUAAAUGUCUCUUCGUAGUCAUGACCAUCUUCUCACCACUAAACGAGCUUUGUAACGCUCAAAAGUAUCAUCAGUCUUAACCUUGUAGACCCACUUACAAGUGAUGAGACGAGCACAAGGAGGAAGGGAAAUGAGAUUCCACGUGCCGUUGCGGGCAUGAGCAUCAAUCUUCGAUGCCAUCACAUGCAACCAUUUGGGAUGAACAACCUCACGGCAAGAAGUCGUCUCGGGAAGAGCUGCGUAGUAACCAUAACAGUCAAUAGAAAGAAGCGGGCGAGCUCGAAAGCCAUAAGUAGACUAAGCUGGAGGUGGUGCGUUGCCCAACGAAAGAAGAUAUAAUAGUCGAGGGAGAUGGCUUAUCAGAAGAAUCCACAACACGCGGAGCAUGAGUGAUGUAAAGUCGAGGAACAUGAGCAAAAGAAGGAACAUAUAAAAAGUCAAAGUGGGUCAUAACAUUCCCACCAAGUGAUGGGACGAACACGAGGAGGAAGAGAAACAAUAUCCCACAUGCUGAUGCGCUCAAGAGCAAUAAUCUCCUCUGCCAUCGCAAGGUUCCAUUUGGUAUGAAUCAAGAACACCAGCGCCAACGCUUGGAAGACCAAGGCGGUCAACAGGCGGAAGCGGACGAGGAAGCAAGCCAUAAGUAGGCCGAGAGGGGAAGUGGCACAUCAGUAGACACUUUCGCAACACGCAGACAAUGUAUAUAAAAGUGAGGAAAAGAUGGAAGAAUACGAGCAGAAAUCAUCGGGAUAAACUCAGGUGAUGGAGGCAAGGAAGACACAACCGAUGAAGGUGUAGAAUCCUGUGAUAAGCGAGGUGAGGAAAUCAUAGCAGAAGAUGGCAUUUGUUCUGCAAUUAUCGCAGAAGCAGGAGCAGUACAACCGAUGGAUAAGGGAGUGAUAGGAGUGUUGGGUUUAAACAAAAAUAGAGUUCCUCCAUUGAAAAGGUCGAGGAAGAAGGACACGUGUAGAAGGGAUGAGAUUCAUCAAGUCAUAUCCCGAGAAAUAGGCAUCCGAUGCCCAACAUGAUCCCAAUAAUGAUAUCCCUUAUGCUCAUCUUUGUAUCCUAAGAAGACACACUCAACGGACCGAGCAGUCAGUUUGGUGCGUUCACGUGGGCAAGAAGGACAUAGCAAACACAACCAAACAAUUGAAGUGCCGAAUAAUCAGGAAAUAAUCAAAUAGACGCUCGAAAGGAGUGCCACCCUGCAGAGCAAUGGAUUGCUGAACGUUGAUGUGAUAGAUGGAAGUGGAGACAGACUCGGCCCAAAAGUGCGGUGAAAGAGAGGCGGUGACCAUCAAUGGAGGAGCCGUCUCAAGAAGGUGACGAUGCUUCUGCUCAGCCACGCCAUUUUGAGCAUGAGCACCAGGAUAAGAGAACCAAAGUCUGCUCAGCAAGGAUUCCACGCAACGGCUUGGAGAUAUACUCUCCACCAGAGUCACCAUAGAACACAUGAAUAGGCGUAGAGAAUUGAGUGUGAACCAUGGCAGCAAAAGGCUUAUAGAUAUGACCUCACUACGAGAAGAAAUAAAGUAUAUAUCCAGGUGUGUUGAGAGAAGUCACUAGCGGAGGCAAAAGGAGAUGAUCCCUCGAGAUCAGAGUGAACAAGGUCUAAAGGAUGCUGUGACACUGUCUCGCUAUGAGUAUAAGGUAACUGGACCACGUAUUAGAGACAUCAUUCGAGGCGGAUCCAAGAAGAUCACGUCGAACUAAGGAUGAGAAAUCACAAGUGACCCAAGGCGAUGAUGCCACUCUUGAAAAUAUCUGGUAGACAAGGCAACAGAGGCAGAGACUGGCGGCACUGGCAACAGAGGGACUUGAUCCAGCAUCCCACUUGCAUGUGCACUCAUCGUACCUCGCCGAUCUGACUGGGUGUUCCUUUCCUGAUAGCGGGUUGUGUGCCACGUGCUUGAUUAAGCACCCCAGGUUCUCCUACUGUGCGCCCUUGGCCUCGACUUUAGGUAGCGCCUGUCUUCGGCUCGUCCCGUGCAUAAUCCAGGUACGCGUCGAUUGUCCGAGCUCCUGCUCACCAUUGGUGGCGCUCGAGCGCGCGGUUAUGGUGUCACACAAAGGGAACACGGGAUGUGGGAUUGAGACAGUGCUUGUAGCAACCCGCAGCAAGGCAAAGGAUGCCCAUCCAGACUCGUAGGGAGCGGAGGUGGUCACAAAGGUGGACGUUGACUCCAUAGGAGUCUCAACAGUGCGCUCAUCAGAAAGAGUAGCACGAGUAAGAAGAUCCCGGACAUACUUCUCUUAGAAAAUAAAGAAGUCAUUAGAGGUAGAAUAAACCUCAAUCUCAAGGAAGUACCAAAGAGGACCAAGAUCGGACAUAAGAAAUUCACUAUGACGAGCCUUCACCAAGGUAAUGUACUUAGAGUCGCCUGUGAUGAUCAACAUGUAGAAGAAGUGUUCGACCACGAGCUGAAUGGUGGAUCGGAUGUGUAGUACAAUGAGCACUCGCCAAAAACUAGCCGCAGUCACCAGUAAGACGAAGCGCUCAAACCAGGCCUGAGGGGUUUGCUUAGGGCCAUAUAGACAGCGACUAAGACGACAAACCAUGCCAUUAGGAAGAGAAUGGUGGCUACUUAUAGGCAUUCUUGACAUCAAGCUGAGAGACAGACUAGCGGCGAAUAGAGGCCACAUUGAGAAGUGUGCGAAGAGUGGUCAUGUGGGCCAUAUAUAUAGGAGUAAAUGUCUCUUCGUAGUGAUGACCAUGUUCUCACCACUAAACGAGCUUUAUAACACUCAAGAGUAUCAUCAGUCUUAACCUUGUAGACCCACUUACAAGUGAUGAGACGAGCACGAGGAGGAAGGGAAAGGAGAUUCCACGUGCCGUUGCGGGCAAGAGCAUAAAUCUUCGAUGCCAUGACAUGCAGCCAUUUGGGAUGAACAACCUCACGGCAAGAAGUCAUCUCGGGAAGGGCUGCGUAUUAACCGUAACAGUCAAUAGAAAGAAGCGGGCGAGCUCGACAGCCAGAAGUAGACUAAGCUGGAGGCGGUGCGUUGCCCAACGAAAGAAGAUAUAAUAGUCGAGGGAGAUGGCUUAUCAGAAGAAUCCACAACACGCGGAGCAUAAGUGAUCUAAAGUCGAGGAACAUGAGCAAAACAAGGAGCAUAUAAAAAGUCAAAGUGGGUCAUAACAUUCCCACCAAGUGAUGGGACGAACACGAGGAGGAAGAGAAACAAUAUCCCACAUGCUGAUGCGCUCAAGAGCAACAAUCUCCUCUGCCAUCGCAAGGUGCCAUUUGGUAUGAAUAACAUCACGAUAAGAAGUCGGCUCAAGAAGACCAGCGCCAACGCUUGGAAGACCAACACGGUCAACAUGCGGAAGCGGACGAGGAAGCAAGCCAUAAGUAGGCCGAGAGGGGAAGUGGCACAUCAAGAGACACAUUCGCAACACACGAGCGAUGUAUAUAAAAGUGAGGAAAAGAUGGAAGAAUACGAGCAGAAACCAUCGAGAUAAACUUAGGUGAUGGAGAGAAGGAAGCCACAACCGAUGAAGGUGUUGAAUCCUGUGAUAAGCGAGGUGACGAAAUCAUAGGAGAUGAUGGCAUUGGAUCUGCAAUUAUCGAAAAAGCAGGAGCAGUACAACAAAUGGAUAAGGGAGUGAUAGGAGUGUUGGGUUUAAAAAAAAUAGAUUUCCUCCAUUGAAAAGGUCGAGGAAGAUGGACGCGGGUAGAAGGGAUGAGACUCAUCGAAAUUCAUAUCCCGAGAAAUAGGCAUCCGACGCCCAACAUGAUCCCAAUAAUGAUAUCCCUUAUGCUCAUCGUUGUAUCCUAAGAAGACACACUCAACGGACUGAGCAGUCAGUUUGGUGCGUUCACGUGGGCAAGAAGGACAUAGCAAACACAACCAAACAAUUGAAGUGCCGAAUAAUCAGGAAAUAAUCAAAUAGACACUCGAAAGGAGCGCCACCCUGCAGAGCAAUGGAUUGCGGAAGGUUAAUGAGAUAGAUGGAAGUGCAAACAGACUCGGCCCAAAAGUGCGGUGAAAGAGAGGCGGUGACCAUCAAUGGAGGAGCCGUCUCAAGAAGGUGACGAUGCUUGUGCUCAGCCACGCCAUUUUGAGCAUGAGCACCAGGAUAAGAGAACCAAAGUCUGCUCAACAAGGAUUCCACGCAACAGCUUGGAGAUAUACUCUCCCCCAGAGUCACCAUAGAACACAUGAAUAGGCGUAGAGAAUUGAGUGUGAACCAUGGCCACAAAAGGCUUAUAGAUAAGACCUCACUACGAGAAGAAAUAAAGUAUAUAUCCAGGUGUGUUGAGAGAAGUCACCAGCGGAGGCAAAAUGAGAUGAUCCCUCGAGAUCAGAGUGAACAAGGUCUAAAGGAUGCUGAGACACUGUCUCGCUAUGAGUAUAAGGAAACUGGACCACGUAUUAGAGGCAUCAUUGGAGACGGAUCCAAGAAGAUCACGUCGAACUAAGGAUGAGAGAUCACAAGUGACCCAAGGCGAUGAUGCCACUCUUGAAAAUAUCUGGUAGACAAGUAACAGAGUCAGAGACUGGCGGCACUGACAGUAGAGGGACUUGAUCCAGCAUCCCACUUGCCUGUGCACUCAUCGUACCCCGCCGAUCUGAUUGGGUGUUCCUUUCCUGAUUGCGGGUUGUGUGCCACGUGCUUGAUUAAGCACCCCAGGUUCUCCUACUGUGCGCCCUUGGCCUCGACUUUAGGUAGCGCCUGUCUUCGGCUCGUCCCGUGCAUAAUCCAGGUACGCGUCGAUUGUUCGAGCUCCUGCUCACCCUUGGUGGAGCUCGAGCGUGCGGUUAUGGUGUCACACAAAGGGAACACGGGAUGUGGGAUUGAGACAGUGCUUGUAGCAACCCGCAGCAAGGCAAAGGAUGCCCAUCCAGACUCGUAGGGAGCGGAGGUGGUCACAAAGGUGGAUGUUGACUCCAUAGGAGUCUCAACAGUGCGCUCAUCAGAAAGAGUAGCACGAGUAAGAAGAUCCUGGACAUACUUCUCUUAGAAAAUAAAGAAGUCAUUAGAGGUAGAAUAAACCUCAAUCUCAAGGAAGUACCAAAGAGGACCAAGAUCGGACAUAAGAAAUUCACUAUGACGAUCCUUUACCAAGGUAAUGUUCUUACAGUCGUUGCUAGUGAUGAUCAACAUGUAGAAGAAGUGUUUGACCACGAGCUGAAUGGUGGAUCGAAAGUGUAGUAUAAUGAGCACUCGCCAAAAACUAGCCGCAAUCACCACUGAGACAAAGCGCUCAAACCAGGCCUGAGGGGUUUGCUUAGGGCCAUAUAGACAGUGAUGAAGACGACAAACCAUGCCAUUAGGAAGAGAACCUAGGUGGUGGCUACUUGUAGGCAUUCUUGACAUCAAGCUGAGAGACAGACUAGCGGCGAAUAGAAGCCAUAUUGAGAAGUGUGCGAAGAGUGGUCACGUGGGCCAUAUAUAUAGGAGUAAAUGUCUCUUCGUAGUCAUGACCAUGUUCUCACCACUAAACGAGCUUUGUAACGCUCAAGAGUAUCAUCAGUGUUAACCUUGUAGACCCACUUACAAGUGAUGAGACGAGCACGAGGAGGAAGGGAAAUGAGAUUCCACGUGCCGUUGCGGGCAAGGGCAUCAAUCUUCAAUGCCAUGACAAGCACCCAUUUGGGAUGAACAACCUCACGGCAAGAAGACGUCUCGGGAAGAGCUGCACAGUAACCAUAGCGGUCGAUAGGCAGAAGCGGGCGAGCUCAAAAGCCAUAAGUACACUAUAAGCUGGAGGCGGUGCGUUGCCAAACGAAAGAAGAUAUAAUAGUCGAGGGAGAUGGCUUAUCAGAAGAAUCCACAACACGCGGACCACGAGUGUAGUAAAGUCCAGGAACAUGAUCAAAAGGAACGUAUAAAAACUCAAAGUGAGUCAUAACAUUCCCACCAAGUGAUGGGACGAACACGAGGAGGAAGAGAAACAAUAUCCCACAUGCUGAUGCGCUCAAGAGCAACAAUCUCCUCUGCCAUCGCAAGGUGUCAUUUGGUAUGAAUAACAUCACGAUAAGAAGUCGUAUCAAGAACACCAACGCCAAUGCUUGGAAGACCAAGGCGGUCAACAGGUGGAAGCGUACGAGGAAGCAAGCCAUAAAUAGGCCGAGAGGGGAAGUGGCACAUCAAGAGGCACAUUCGCAACACGCAGACGAUGUAUAUAAAAGUGAGGAAAAGAUGGAAGAAUAUGAGCAGAACUCAUCGGGAUAAACUCAGGUGAUGGAGAGAAGGAAGCCACAACCGAUGAAGGUGUUGAAUCCUGUGAUAAGCGAGGUGACGAAAUAAUAGGAGAUGACGGCAUUGGAUCUGCAAUUAUCGGAGAAGCAGGAGCAGUACAACAAAUGGAUAAAGGAGUGAUAGGAGUGUUGGGUUAAAAAAAUAGAUUUCCUCCAUUGAGAAGGUCGAGGAAGAUGGAUGCGGUAGAAGGGAUGUGACUCAUCGAAAGUCAUAUCCCGAGAAAUAGGCAUCCGACGCCCAACAUGAUCCCAAUAAUGAUAUCCCUUAUGCUCAUCGUUGUAUUCUAAGAAGACACUCAACGGAAUGAGCAGUCAGUUUGGUGCGUUCAUGUGGGCAAGAAGGACAUAGCAAACACAACCAAACAAUUGAAGUGCUGAAUAAUCAGGAAAUAAUCAAAUAGACGCUCGAAAGGAGCGCCCCCCUGCAGAGCAAUGGAUUGCUGAAGGUUGAUGAGAUAGAUGAAAGUGCAGAUAGACUCGGCCCAAAAGUGCGGUGAAAGAGAGGCGGUGACCAUCAAUGGAGGAGCCGUCUCAAGAAGGUGACGAUGCUUCUACUCAGCCACGCCAUUUUGAGCAUGAGCACCAGGAUAAGAGAACCAAAGUCUGCUCAGCAAGGAUUCCACGCAACGGCUUGGAGAUAUACUCUCCACCAGAGUCACCAUAGAACACAUGAAUAGGCGUAGAGAAUUGAGUGUGAACCAUGGCAGCAAAAGGCUUAUAGAUAUGACCUCACUACGAGAAGAAAUAAAGUAUAUAUCCAGGUGUGUUGAGAGAAGUCACUAGCGGAGGCAAAAGGAGAUGAUCCCUCGAGAUCAUAGUGAACAAGGUCUAAAGGAUGCUGUGACACUGUCUCGCUAUGAGUAUAAGGUAACUGGACCACGUAUUAGAGACAUCAUUGGAGACGGAUCCAAGAAGAUCACGUCGAACUAAGGAUGAGAGAUCACAAGUGACCCAAGGCGAUGAUGCCACUCUUGAAAAUAUCUGGUAGACAAGGCAACAGAGGAAGAGACUGGCGGCACUGACAGUAGAGGGACUUGAUCCAGCAUCCCACUUGCCUGUGCACUCUUCGUACCCCGACGAUCCGACUGGGUGUUCCUUUCCUGAUUGCGGGUUGUGUGCCACGUGCUUGAUUAAGCACCCCAGGUUCUCCUCCUGUGCGCCCUUGGCCUCGACUUUAGGUAGCGCCUGUCUUCGGCUCGUCCCGUGCAUAAUCCAGGUACGCGUUGAUUGUCCGAGCUCCUGCUCACCAUUGGUGGCGCUCGAGCACGCGGUUAUGGUGUCACACAAAGGGAACACGGGAUGUGGGAUUGAGACAGUGCUUGUAGCAACCCGCAGCAAGGCAAAGGAUGCCCAUCCAGACUCGUAGGGAGCGGAGGUGGUCACAAAGGUGGACGUUGACUCCAUAGGAGUCUCAACAGUGCGCUCAUCAGAAAGAGUAGCACGAGUAAGAAGAUCCUGGACAUACUUCUCUUAGAAAAUAAAGAAGUCAUUAGAGGUAGAAUAAACCUCAAUCUCAAGGAAGUACCAAAGAGGACCAAGAUCGGACAUAAGAAAUUCACUAUGACGAGCCUUCACCAAGGUAAUGUACUUAGAGUCGUUGCUAGUGAUGAUCAACAUGUAGAAGUAGUGUUCGACCACGAGCUGAAUGGUGGAUCGGAUGUGUAGUACUAUGAGCACUCGCCAAAAACUAGCCGCAAUCACCACUGAGACGAAGCGCUCAAACCAGGCCUGAGGAGUUUGCUUAGGGCCAUAUAGACAGCGACGAAGACGACAAACCAUGCCAUUAGGAAGAGAACCUAGCCACCAUUCAGUCACAUUGAGCUGAGAGACAUACUAGCGGCGAAUAGAAGUCACAUUGAGAAGUGUGCGAAGAGUGGUCACGUGGGCCAUAUAUAUAGGAGUAAAUGUCUCUUCGUAGUCAUGACCAUGUUCUCACCACUAAACGAGCUUUGUAACGCUCAAGAGUAUCAUCAGUCUUAACCUUGUAGACCCACUUACAAGUGAUGAGACGAGCACGAGGAGGAAGGGAAAUGAGAUUCCACGUGCCGUUGCGGGCAAGGGCAUCAAUCUUCAAUGCCAUGACAUGCACCCAUUUGGGAUGAACAACCUCACGGCAAGAAGACGUCUCGGGAAGAGCUGCACAGUAACCAUAGCGGUCAAUAGGCAGAAGUGGGCGAGCUCAAAAGCCAUAAGUACACUAUAAGCUGGAGGCGGUGCGUUGCCAAACGAAAGAAGAUAUAAUAGUCGAGGGAGAUGGCUUAUCAGAAGAAUCCACAACACGCGGACCACGAGUGUAGUAAAGUCGAGGAACAUGAGCAAAAGAAGGAACGUAUAAGAAGUCAAAGUGAGUCAUAACAUUCCCACCAAGUGAUGGGACAAACACGAGGAAGAGAAACAAUAUCCCACAUGCUGAUGCGCUCAAGAGCAACAAUCUCCUCUGCCAUCGCAAGGUGCCAUUUGGUAUGAAUAACAUCACGAUAAGAUGUCGGCUCAAGAACACCAGCGCCAACGCUUGGAAGACCAAGGCGGUCAACAGGCGGAAGCGGACGAGGAAGCAAGCCAUAAGUAGGCCGAGAGGGCUAGUGGCACAUCAAGAGACACAUUCGCAACACGCGGGCGAUAUAUAUAAAUGUGAGGAAAAGAUGGAAGAAUACGAGCAGAAAUAAUCGGGAUAAACUCAGGUGAUGGGAGAGAAGAAGCCACAACCGACGAAGGUGUUGAAUCCUGUGAUAAGCGAGGUGACGAAAUCAUAGGAGAUGAUGGCAUUGGAUCUGCAAUUAUCGGAGAAGCAGGAGCAGUACAACGAAUGGAUAAGGGAGUGAUAGGAGUGUUGGGUAUAAAAAAUAGAUUUCCUCCAUUGAAAAGGUCGAGGAAGAUGGACGCGGGUAGAAGGGAUGAGACUCAUCAAAAGUCAUAUCCCGAGAAAUAGGCAUCCGACGCCCAACAUGAUCCCAAUAAUGAUAUCCCUUAUGCUCAUCGUUGUAUCCUAAGAAGACACACUCAACGGACGGAGCAGUCAGUUUGGUGCGUUCACAUGGGCAAGGACAUAGCAAACAUAACCAAACAAUUGAAGUGCUGAAUAAUCAGGAAAUAAUCAAAUAGACGCUCGAAAGGAGCGCCACCCUGUAGAGCAAUGGAUUGCUGAAGGUUGAUGAGAUAGAUGGAAGUGGAGACAGACUCGGCCCAAAAGUGCGGUGAAAGAGAGGCGGUGACCAUCAAUGGAGGAGCCGUCUCAAUAAGGUGACGAUGCUUGUGCUCAGCCACACCAUUUUGAGCAUGAGCACCAGGAUAAGAGAAGCAAAGUCUGCUCAGCAAGGAUUCCACGCAACAGUUUGGAGAUGUACUCUCCACCAGAGUCACCAUAGAACACAUGAAUAGGCGUAGAGAAUUGAGUGUGAACCAUGGCCGCAAAAGGCUUAUAGAUAAGACCUCACUACGAGAAGAAAUAAAGUAUAUAUCCAGGUGUGUUGAGGGAAGUCACUAGCGGAGGCAAAAGGACAUGAUCCCUCGAGAUCAGAGUGAACAAGGUCUAAAGGAUGCUGAGACACUGUCUUGCUAUGAGUUUAAGGUAACUGGACCACGUAUUAGAGACAUCAUUCGAGGCGGAUCCAAGAAGAUCACGUCGAACUAAGGAUGAGAGAUCACAAGUGACCCAAGGCGAUGAUGCCACUCUUGAAAAUAUCUGGUAGACAAGGCAACAGAGGGAGAGACUGGCGGCACUAACAGUAGAGGGACUUGAUCCGGCAUCCCACUUGCCUGUGCACUCUUCGUACCCCGCCGAUCCGACUGGGUGUUCCUUUCCUGAUUGCGGGUUGUGUGCCACAGCUUGAUUAAGCACCCCAGGUUCUCCUACUGUGCGCCCUUGGCCUCGACUUUAGGUAGCGCCUGUCUUCGGCUCGUCCCGUGCAUAAUCCAGGUACGCGUCGAUUAUCCGAGCUCCUGCUCACCAUUGGUGGCGCUCGAGCGCGCGGUUAUGGUGUCACACAUAAAGGGAACACGGGAUGUGGGAUUGAGACAAUGCUUGUAGCAACCCACAUCAAGGCAAAGGAUGCUCAUCCAGACUGGUAGGGAGCGGAGGUGGUCACAAAGGUGGACGUUGACUCCAUCGGAGUCUCAACAGUGCACUCAUCAGAAAGAGUAGCACGAGUAAGAAGAUCCUGGACAUACUUCUCUUAGAAAAUAAAGAAGUCAUUAGAGGUAGAAUAAACCUCAAUCUCAAGGAAGUACCAAAGAGGACCAAGAUCGGACAUAAGAAAUUCACUAUGACGAGCCUUCACCAAGGUAAUGUUCUUACAGUCGUUGCUAGUGAUGAUCAACAUGUAGAAGAAGUGUUUGACCACGAGCUGAAUGGUGGAUCGAAAGUGUAGUAUAAUGAGCACUCGCCAAAAACUAGCCGCAAUCACCACUGAGACAAAGCGCUCAAACCAGGCCUGAGGUGUUUGCUUAGGGCCAUAUAGACAGUGAUGAAGACGACAAACCAUGCCAUUAGGAAGAGAACCUAGGUGGUGGCUACUUGUAGGCAUUCUUGACAUCAAGCUGAGAGACAGACUAGCGGCGAAUAGAAGCCAUAUUGAGAAGUGUGCGAAGAGUGGUCACGUGGGCCAUAUAUAUAGGAGUAAAUGUCUCUUCGUAGUCAUGACCAUGUUCUCACCACUAAACGAGCUUUGUAACGCUCAAGAGUAUCAUCAGUCUCAACCUUGUAGACCCACUUACAAGUGAUGAGACGAGCACGAGGAGGAAGGGAAAUGAGAUUCCACGUGCCGUUGCGGGCAAGAGCAUCAAUCUUCGAUGCCAUGACAUGCAGCCAUUUGGGAUGAACAACCUCACGACAAUAAGCGGGCGAGCUCGAAAGCGGUCAUUAGACAGAAGCGGGCGAGCUCGAAAGCCAUAAGUAGAGUAAGCCGGAGGCGGUGCGUUGCCAAACGAAAGUCGAGGGAGAUGGCUUAUGAGAAGAAUCCACAACACGCGGACCACGAGUGUUGUAAAGUCGAGGAACAUGCGCAAAAGAAGGAAUGUAUAAAAGGUCAAAGUGAGUCAUAACAUUCCCACCAAGUGAUGGGACGAAUACGAGGAGGAAGAGAAACAAUAUCCCACAUGCUGAUGCGCUCAAGAGCAACAAUCUCCUCUGCCAUCGCAAGGUGCCAUUUGGUAUGAAUAACAUCACGAUAAGAAGUCGGCUCAAGAACACCAGCACCAACGGUUGGAAGUCCAAGGCGGUCAACAGGCGGAAGCGGACGAGGAAGCAAGCCAUAAGUAGGCUGAGAGGGGAUGUGGCACAUCAGUAGACACAUUCGCAACGCGCGGACGAUGUAUAUAAAAGUGAGGAAAAGAUGGAAGAAUACAAGUCGAAAUCAUAGGGAUAAACUCAGGUGAUUUAGAGAAGGAAGCCACAACCGAUGAAGGUGUAGAAUCCUGUGAUAAGCGAGGUGAGGAAAUCAUAGGAGAUGAUGGCAUUGGAUCUGCAAUUAUCGGACAAGCAGGAGCAGUACAACAAAUGGAUAAGGGAGUGAUAGGAGUGUUGGAUUUGAAAAAAAAUAUAGAUUUCCUCCAUUGAAAAGGUCAAGGAAGAUGGACGCGGGUAGAAGGGAUGAGACUCAUCAAAAGUCAUAUCCCGAGAAAUAGGCAUCCGACGCCCAACAUGAUCCCAAUAAUGAUAUCCCUUAUGCUCAUCGUUGUAUCCUAAGAAGACACACUCAACGGACUGAGCAGUCAGUUUGGUACGUUCAUGUGGGCAAGAAGGACAUAGCAAACGCAACCAAACAAUUGAAGUGCCGAAUAAUCAGGAAAUAAUCAAAUAGACGCUCGAAAGGAGCGCCACCCUGCAGAGCAAUGGAUUGCUGAAGGUUGAUGAGAUGGAUGGAAGUGGAGACAGACUCGGCCCAAAAGUGCGUUGGAAGAGAGGCGGUGACCAUCAAUGGAGGAGCCAUCUCAAGAAGGUGACGGUGAUUGCGCUCAGCCACGCCAUUUUGAGGUUGAGCACCAGGAUAAGAGAACUAAAGUCUGCUCAGCAAGGAUUCCACGCAACAGCUUGGAGAUAUACUCUCCACCAGAGUCACCAUAGAACACAUGAAUAGGCGUAGAGAAUUGAGUGUGAAUCAGGGCAGGAAAAGGGUUAUAGAUAAGACCUCACUACGAGAAGAAAUAAAGUAUAUAUCCAGGUGUUUUGAGAGAAGUCACUAGCGGAGGCAAAAGGAGAUGAUCCCUCGAGAUCAGAGUGAACAAGGUCUAAAGGAUUCUGAGAUACUGUCUCGCUAUGAGUAUAAGGUAACUGGACCACGUAUUAGAGACAUCAUCGGAGACGGAUCCAAGAAGAUCACGUCGAACUAAGGAUGAGAGAUCACAAGUGACCCAAGGCGAUGAUGCCACUCUUGAAAAUAUCUGGUAGACAAGGCAACAGAGGCAGAGACUGGCCGUACUGGCAGUAGAGGGACUUGAUCCGGCAUCCCACUUGCCUGUGCACUCUUCGUACCCCGCUGAUCUGGCUGGGUGUUCCUUUCCUGAUUGCGGGUUGGUUGCCACGUGCUUGAUUAAGCACCCCAGGUUCUCCUACUGUGCGCCCUUGGCAUCAACAUGUGAAAUCGACUGCAGAGGGUUUGGGCCUGGGGGAUCGCAUCUUCCUGCCGGUGGAAGGCAUGCGUCCCCUCGAGGCUGGUACAGAUUCUGGCAAGGACAGAGUUUCUCAGCCCUUUCUCAUUGCGUGUGUAUUCUUUAAAGUCACGUAUAUUUUUCAGUAAUGCUCCCAAAUCUCUGCUCACUCCAGAAGUCCAGAUACAGUGCAUCACGUAAUUUUCUUGUUUAGUUGCCAUUAGCUAACUUCACAGAAUCCAAGUUGGAUUUGUUUGAACGACAAUGUCUCGAGCUUUUGGGAAGCAACACUAAUUACAAGCUUAGCUAGCGCCUUACCAACACUUUGCUAUUGUGAGGAUUUGCAUCCUACCUCUACCCCUAUGUCACAAGUAAAAUUAUUGUGAUUAUCCAUAUGAUGACAUGAGUAAUUUAACUUUUGUUCUGUGUUUCAUGUUGUCUGGAGCAAUGCUUGGCUCCUAGCAGUUUCCAGAUGGAUUUAUUUCCAUUGCAAUGAGAACGACUGUCAACAUUUGCUGAAUUUUUGGUCGACUCAACCCACAAACCAAGAGGACUUAACCCUCUUCUCCUUGAUAGUCCAGCAAUCAGCAAGUUGAAAAGAUUUAAAUCAAGGUUCCAUGAUAUUCUAAUGAAUCUCCCUGUAAGGGAGGCUUUUCAGAUAUUCCAUUUCAAACUAAAGGGCUUGACAGACCAGUUUUUAUCCGGAAGAAAGGCCUUUAGUGUGCGUUUGGAUCUGAAGAAACAAAGCAAGAUAUGGUUGUCAUUCCUCCUAACUUGGCUAGUUACUAGUAUCUCCUUGAUCCUUUGAUAAGGUAGUCUUGGCGAGUGUUUGGGCAAUAGAGAACAUAACUUGGCAAUUUUUGUACAUGUUUCAGGAUUAGAAGCUUAAAUUCUGAAUUUUAUAGUUCAGGAGUAGCUACCUCCUGAUGUACCGGUGUAAUUUAAUAGUUUCAUCGAAUGUGAAUCAGAAGUAUAUGUUGUUAACAUAGUUGGGUAUACAUAUCAUGUCAUCUUUCUUUUCUAA